CAUUUUUUAGAUUAUUUGAUCAGCUUGUUUUAUUUGUAUUUUAAAGUUGAUAUAUAUUAUUAUGUAAGUGUUAAUUAAUAUUGUGUUGAAGUUAUAUUAUGAUUGAUUAUUGUGAAAUUUUAAUUUCAAUACUAUAUUGAAUACAUUUUUAAUUUCAAGUUGUUGUUCAAAUUUCAUUUUUAUUAAAAAUAUUUCCUUAUUGAUAAAAUUCAGUAGAUAGAUACAAAGAAUAGGUCUAGGUUGGUUAAGACUUGGUCGAGUAUGAUUCAGACUAGGUCGAGUAUGGUUCAGACUGGUCAAGUACGGUUCAGACUAGGUCGAGUAUGGUUCAGACUAGGUCGAGCAUGGUUCAGACUCGUAUAAAAUAGUUAUGAACUGGUCAAGUAAAAAAUUCAGACUGUUAAGUAUGGUUCAGACUACAGUCGAGUAUUAUCAAGUAAAUGUCAGACCAAUUCAGACUGGUCGAGUAAAAAUCAGUACAGUCUAGUACAGAGAUAGGCCAUUUCAGACUUUUACUGGUUUGUAGUGUUACUUCGGGUGCAUGCGCAAUGAUCUGGAUCCACCACCAACCAAUAUUUAAGAAAUAAUAAAUUUAGGACAAACACAUGUGUGAAUGAGUUCUGUUGACAUUUUUUUCUCUUUAAAAUAGUUGGUGAACUGGUUCAAUGAUUAUCUCUCUUUCAAAUGAAUACAAUUUUUGACGCGUUCUGGACUUUGUAUGCAUUUUAGCCAAAGUAGCUAUGUUUCUUGUCGUACAAGGAUAUAAAACACAAAAUUUAUUCUAGAUACUCUGAAAAUCAUUCAACCUAAGUUGGCCGGAAUUGAUUCAGCAGUUUCAGUGGAGAAGACUUUUUUAAGUAAGCAAACUAGAUGGACAAAUUGUGAAAAGUUCUUUAAAGGGCGAUAACUCCUCAAGGGGUCAAUUGACAAUUUUAGUCGUGAAACUUAUUUGUAGUUCUUUAAUGGUUUACUUUUAUAAAUUGUUAUUUGAAUGGAGAGUUGUCUCAUUGGCACUCACAUCACAUAUUCCUAUAUCUACUUACUUUGCUGAACAUUUUUGCUGUCUACAAUUUUAUCAUUAAUAAUAUUCAAGAUGAUAACUAAAAACUUCAAAAUUUCCUUAAAAUUAUUAGCUUAGUGGCAGCAACCCAACAAUGGGUUAUUAGAUUCAUUUUAAAAUUCAGGGCUGAUAGAACUUCCCCUUAUGAACACCUUUACCCCAUGUCGGGUAUGUUCUAAAUGCUUUGGAUUUUGAGAUAUAAGCCAAAAACUGCACUUUAUCCCUAUGUUCUAUUUUAAGCCAUGGCAACCAUGCUUUUUUAUGAAACAGACAAUAAAACACAAACUUCAUACUAAGUAUCAUUAGCUUAAGUUUGAUUGGAAUUGGUUCAAUAGUUUCAGAGAAAAUGUUUGACAUAGUUUUCAC
rnacentral:lncRNA from 1 species